rnacentral:rRNA from 1 species
UACGAAGGGUGCAAGCGUUAAUCGGAAUUACUGGGCGUAAAGCGUGCGCAGGCGGUUAUGCAAGACAGAUGUGAAAUCCCCGGGCUCAACCUGGGAACUGCAUUUGUGACUGCAUAGCUAGAGUGCGGCAGAGGGAGAUGGAAUUCCGCGUGUAGCAGUGAAAUGCGUAGAUAUGCGGAGGAACACCGAUGGCGAAGGCAAUCUCCUGGGCCUGCACUGACGCUCAUGCACGAAAGCGUGGGGAGCAAACAGG